rnacentral:rRNA from 1 species
UACGAAGGGGGCUAGCGUUGCUCGGAAUCACUGGGCGUAAAGGGUGCGUAGGCGGGUCUUUAAGUCAGGGGUGAAAUCCUGGAGCUCAACUCCAGAACUGCCUUUGAUACUGAGGAUCUUGAGUCCGGGAGAGGUGAGUGGAACUGCGAGUGUAGAGGUGAAAUUCGUAGAUAUCGGGAGGAACACCAGUAGCGAAGGCGGCGACCUGGGCCAAUACUGACGCUGAGGUGCGAAAGCGUGGGGAGCAAACAGG